UCGUUAUCAUAUAACAAAAUUAGGACACCCAACAUAGCACAGGAUCAUUAAAUCUGGUUUUCCCUGGCAACCGGGAGCUUUUCAAUUCAUUCGCAUUCCUUAGAAAGCAGCGAAAAAACAAUGCUACAGUCUACGAAAGACAAGCAUUGUCAGUUACAGUAUAAUUAUAGAUUGGAAAAUACCGUAGAGGCUACAGCAAAGGAAUUGUUUUAUUUUGAAAAAGGUGAGCCCAAAAUUUCUUACUUUUCAUCAUUUCUUUGCCAUGACAAAUUAAACAGAGUUUUAGAUAGAGUUUUCAAUAGAAAAUAGGCUAGCCAGUUUCUAGUUAAUUUUAAAGUAUAAUAGAAAGAUCAGCUACCUUGGUUUAUCUGGAAUUUAAAUUAGAAGUUUUCAUUUAACCUAAUAACUCUCCUUUUCAUAAAAAAGACCAGUGUAAUGUUGUUGGAGACCUUUUAGGUUGAUAAUCUGAAUAUGCCGAGAAUUCUUUCAAAAUGUUUGUUAAAUGAUCCCGAAUUUCCCAACCUUUUACUUAGGGGUAUUUUUGCAACGUUUCCAAGAAAUUAGUUUAAAGGAAUUUCCCAAUUUCGUUUAUCGUUGCCCUUUCCUGAAAUGCACCAAUCGCUGGUUGCUCCCACUGGUUGCUCCACGUAGCCAUUUUGAAAUUGGCAACUCUCGUCUUUUGAUCAUAUGAUCCACUUGAGAACGAGACUAGACCUAAUCAUGUCAAGACAUGCCCCGAGGAUAUGUGCCGUGAUUGGUCGCUUUUUUCGUAAAGCACGCUUUCUGCAGUUGUGGUUUCAGUCCUGGUACUUGUUGUUUUUCAUUAGUAAACCGGGGCCUGGGAAUACCCCUAUAACAGAUGAAUACGAGACUUGUUAGAACACGUUCCGUUGAACCAUUGUUUAAAGCCGCGUUUUCCUUUAUGACAACAGAAAGCUUCGCAAUCGCUUGCAGGAAUCACCGGUUUAAAGACCUUCAAAAAUAAUCUUCGCCCGAGAGCGAGAAGAGAUCACGAAACCUGCUUCAAAGGCUGGGUCAGAUUUCAGCGUCAAUUAUUCCAAGCGUUGACUGUUCUGUAGCUGACUCGAAGCAACAAAAAUGUACACAAACUUUGUAGAGGCAGUCGACUACCUGAUGAGUAUCAAGUCUAAGAAGCCAAUUGCAGGGACUGUCCAUUACAUGUACCACGGAAGUGCCAAAAAAGCAACGAAACUCCUGUGUAUUACUCCAGAGAAUAUGAAGAAAGUUGGCACAGGUCAGAAAAAGGUCACGAUGAGCACUUCCAACCACAUCGAACCAGCCCCAGACCUGCGAUCAGAGAGGAGGGUGGUGGGACGUCAACUGGCCCACAUUGGUGACAGUUUGCUAGAGAGCCCGGAUGCACUGACCAGUAAGCAAAAACGUGGUAUAAUUUUGUCAUUGGCAGUUGUGAGCUUGGCUGGAGUUGCACUCAUCUGUUUUGCUAAAGAUGAUAAGAUGACGUAAUUUGGAAACUAGAGAGGAGCAAGAGACUAGUUCGAAGAAGUUUAUUGUCAAUACGUUUAGUUAAAAGCAGCUUUAAAGAUUAUAGUGCUUAUUAUAUUUGAAUUUGAGUAGUGCAAAGGGCUUCUGGAAUAACAACCUAGUAGCCUAGGGGCCAAUUUGGUCCAGCUUUCCUUCCUGAAACUAUCGCAGAAGAAUGUUCAAGAAUUUUAACCAAGCCUCGUUUCCACGGUUGGUCGUCUCUCGGUCGGUCAGAUUUAGCGAAUCGUGAGCUAGAUAGCGUACAAUCUCCCCCUUUAUUAAUCUUCCCCACCAUCAGAAAUUUUACUUUUCAUCAGGUUAUCGCAGCAAAAAGUUCAAAAAGUUCAAAAAAUGUCAAACGUUAGUUGAUUUUUGUGUUGAAAUGAAGAUUGUUGGGAAAGCGAACUGAAACGCCAGCAUUCGUUAUUCAAACUUUUACCCACAAUAGAGAGGCUAUACUAAAACACAAAAGGGCAACUUAAACAUACUGAAUCGAUCAAAUGUGUAGUUGUACGCUCUUUAGAGUUCACAACUUUGUUGAAUCACUAAAACUAAAUUAUUGCAAGCCUUUUUUCCAUUGAAUCCUCUGCAAGUCAGAGAAUUUCGUUGCAAUCAGCACACCCUAGUGCUACACACUCUAUGGAGUGCACAAUCAAAACUAUUGUUAAGUGUGGAUAUUUGAAUAGAUAUUUUGUACAGCGUUACAGUUUAGAGUAACAAAUCUUAGUUUAUUGGCAUAUUUGGUUUAAGCAAAUUUGUGGUUUGGAAAAUUUUUGUAAGUUUAGCUUUUGGUCUCUAAGAUCAUUUCAAAACAAGAUGUAUAUACUGUGUAAAUAUUGCUUGUAAUCGUGAAAGGAGAAGGAUAUCAUAUUGCCAAACGGUGUAAGAAAACUACUUAUUCCUAUUGAAUCCAAGAGUGAUCACGCGUCAAAGAAGAUUUAAAAAUGACCUAUGGUGGCAUUACAAAAGUCACAUGACAUCUAUCCAAUUUGUUUUUGAGAAUGAUAUUUCUAACUAAGAAAGUUACAAUUUCAACGUUCCAAUAUUAUUUGAACGUGAUUGCUCUUGGAUAUUUUCAAGAGAUAAAAACUUGCUUAUGCGAUUGUUUAAAUUCUGUUUUAUUUAUUUAUCAACUGCUUUGUUGUGUUUUAAAUAUUGCCCUGUUGUCAUUGGAAAUAAUCCUAUUAUUGGAAAACGUAAAAUAAGUUGAAUUUCAUAACAAACUGAAACAUUGCACAAAUCUUACAAAUGUAUAAAUUUAUUCUUGGAAAAUCCCGAAACUUCGAUAACAACAGGGCAAUAACUGUUCAAAGAACUAUAUUUACGGUGCAUUAACUUCUUAUUUUCAAGAUAAAAACGAUAAUGCAAUAUGACUUUUAUGUUUGAUAUCUUCUACGCAUUUUGAAAUAGUUUUACUUUCAUUGUUAGAAUAUGCCCUUUGGCAGUGGAAAUAUAUUCAGAGAAACAUUGAAGCAGUAUUAGAGGAACUUAAAACCGAGAAUUUAUUUCUUACUUUAAGAGAGACUAAAGGCUUUAGAAGUAGAAAAUAGUAUGUCGUUAUCGUCCACCCCGUUUCUUGCAGUCACUAGGCCAUCCAAAAACUUAGGCAGGUCUUUAGUAAUAGACAGGGUAGCUAACCUUCUACAAAAAAAUAGACCGGGUAGCUUACCUUCUAUGUUUUGGAAGUCCCCUUUAAAUCCCUUAUACCCAAAAUGUAUAUUCGAUAAUCUGAAGCAGUGAUUCAAACACGUCCUCCUAUGAGCCUGAGCAAACUCUUUUUCCAACAGAUCAAAUUUGCCUGAAAAUGAGUAACAUUUCAGAAUCAUCUUGUGGUCAAAAUAUAUUCCCAAGGGGUGCCUAGUUCUUGCUUUUCUCGUCCUUUGUGUUACUGGACAUCUUGAAUCUGUUCAUUUAUUGUAAGUCAUAAAGUCAGGAAAUGGAGACCGACUUACUCGAGGACUCGAGGGGCCCCUACUUGUUUCGAGGACUCGAGGGGCCCCUACGAAAGUUCUUUCUUUCCUACGAGUAUGCCUUCAAAGACCAAUGGAUGCAGUCCCCAGUUGCCCCCAUACCACACCUCCCCCUUCAAAUUUCUAGGAACGCUUCAGAUAAAAAACCAACAUGGCUGCUAACAACCUACCCAACCUUAGUGAGCUAUUAGAGUACUUUACAAUGCCAAGUUUAGAUGCAUUAGAGAUUCCAUGAAAAUAAAAACUACGGUAGUUUUGGAUUCAAAAUGUAUAUUUCUUGUUGUUAUUGUUGUGUUUGAAAUAAA